CUACCCUGAUCCAGGAGACUCUGCAGUUCUAAGGCUUAAUGCAAUAAACACAUUAUCCACAAAUAGGAGCACCUAGAGGACCUCGCCAUCAACAGGAAAUCUCUCUCCAACUUGGACUGUCUUGGAUAUCCUCCUUCACAGUGGAAAGCACUUGUGGGUAGCAUACAUCGACCUGCCUUAUGACUCACCAGAUAUCUGUGAAUUUGCGACAUCUGGAUAGGACACACCUUGUGUUAAGAAAGCCCUCGCUGUAGCAUUGGGCACUAUCAAAUCAACAUUGACCUUGUGAGCAAUGAAAACUCUGAAGAGAUUACAGCUUUGGCAGCUGGUGUCUUCACCUUCCCUGGCAUCUGAGCAGCAGAAUUUUUGGGAAAUUUCCUAAGCACUGGCAAGAAUGGGCUGGCACCAUGGAAAGAGCUGAUGUUGGAGAGAGACCAGCAAAGGUGGUGGAGUAGGAGAAAGCAGUAUAGUGCAGUUCUGCCCCACAACUGGGCCUACAAAGAGCACCAGAAAGUGUUCAUUGGGAAAUCCAAGGAAAAAGCAGUAUGGAGAGACACACAGAGCCUCAAAGGGAACUCCCUCUGUAGAUGGAACCCUGGGAAGAUACUAGAGAGGAAGUCAUUUCCACUGGGAGGAGAAGGGGAGUGGCUGGAGAAGAGAGACUCCAUCCAAGGGUGGAGGCCAUCCAAGCAGGAGCAGUUUAACUUUCUUCUUCAAACACCACAAGCCCCUUGACACUGCUAUGGUUAUCUAUGUAACAUGCUGGAGACAUAAGCUCUUCUGGAGUAUAAGCUCCUUCAGGAGGACAGGACCAUUUUUGCCUCUGUGUCCUCAGUGCCUGGAACAUAGCAGGUGAUUAAUAAAUAUCACUUAAUUGAUUAAUCAUCAACAUAAGUGCUUUCUUCAAUGAUGAAGAUUGAAGCCAGUUCACUCUCUCAUGUCCUGAGCAAUUCUUGUCCAUGUCUUCCUAUAACUAGUCCAAACAGAUUUCACUUAACAUACUGGAAUGGGGCCUUCCCCAGCUCUCUUGAUAUUGAAUGGAUACAAAUGGAGUCCAUGGGCUGCCCAUCAGUUUUGGCCCUCCUUUCUUUCUAGUCAAACAUGUCUUUAUGUCUCUGAUAACAUCCUUUAUAUUCCUCUUGUCUAAUUCUUGAUUGAUAUUAUAUUGUAUCUUAUUCACACCUACCAUGUGGUUCUUCAUUGUGCCUCAACUUUUAUUCUUCAGGGACCACGAAUCUGUGACUCAUAUUCAUACAUCAGAAAAAUAUUGUUUAAAAGAGGAGCUUUUGUUUCAGGGAGAAAUUUGAGGUCACUAAAAGCAUGGCAGAAUUUCCUAAAGGUAAUCUAGCCUGCUGUUUUCCUGGUCAGUUCUGGGACCAGCUUAUUGUCCACGCGCAGCAUCUGUUCAAGACACAUGUACUAUUGGACCAAAUCUAUGGACUGUCCAUCCAACAGCAUGAUAUGACAGCAAUAAAAUCUAAUGCAAUCUUGGGUUUCAUUAAGAGAGCUGAUAGUCCCAUUGAACUCUGCUAUGGUCAAACCACAUAUGGAAUAAUUCAUUCAGCUCUGGAUGUCACAUUUUAGGAAGGAUGUUGACAAGAUGGGAAGUGUCUAGAGGAGGACAGGAUGCUGAAGGCCCUCACAUUUAUACCAUAUGAACAUCAGUUGAAGAAACUGGAGAGGUUAAUCCUGGAGAAGAGAAGACAUAGAAGGGCACCUGUCUUUACAGGCAUUCCUCACUGAAGGAAGUAGUAACUCAAUGGGAAAGAUGGAAAGACAGGAGGUUAUAAUAAGAGGGGAAUUUCAAAGAUUUAGAUCUUGACAGUACCUUGUUCAUAGUAGAUACUUUAAAAAUGUGAACUUAACUGAAUUAAUUAAUUUAGAACUGGAGCAAUUUUGGGUAAUGUCCUUUAUAGGUGGCUAAGGUAGAAUGAAGUUGAGAAUCAAAAAAUCUGAGAUAAUGAUAAUAAUAAUAAUAAUAAUAGCUAGCAUUUAUAUAUAUGCCAGGUCCUGUACUAAGCACUUUACAAAUAUCUCAUUUGAAGAUGAGAAAGUAACUAGAAAAUCCAUUUAUAUUCAUGUUCAGUACGCAAAUAAAA